ensembl:piRNA 21ur-519 ncRNA
UCCAACCAAAACAAUUUGUAU